UGGAAGCUCCCAAGUUUUCUUUUAUUAUUAUUUUUUUUUAGAUUUAUUUAUUUAUUCAUGAGACACAGAGAGAGAGAGAGAGGCAGAGACACAGGCAGAGGGAGAAGCAGGCUCCCCGCGGGGUGCCCGGUGCGGGACUCGAUCCUGGAUCCCGGGAUCACGCCCUGAGCCGAAGGCAGGCGCCCAAACGCUGAGCCACCCAGGCGCCCCGGCUCCCAGGUUUUCAAACAGGCUUUCUUUUCUUUCUUUUUUUUUUUUUUUGUAUAUUUUUGUAUUGAUUUUUUUUUUUUUUAUUGGAGUUUGCUUUGCCAACAUCUAGUAUCACACGGAGGGCUCCUCCCGUCCAGUGCCCCCCGCAGUGCCCGUCCCCCGUCCCCGCCGCCCUUCCCCUUGUUCAUCUCCCAGCUUAGGAGUCUCGGGGUCUCACACAGGCUUUGGGGGGCGGGGGGCAGCGGCCGGGCUGCGAGAGGCGCGGGGACCCGGAGCUCCGCGGCCGGGGAGCAGCGCACGCGCACGCGCAGGCUGCGAGCGGCUCCCGCCGGCUCCUCCCGCGGCGGUCGGUCCGGGGACGUUCUCCCCGCCGCGGGGGCGACUGUGACCCCCGGCGGAGGCCCGGGCGGGCCGGGUCCCGAUCGGUGCUGGCGGACGUCACCCUGCCAGGUUCGGUGGUUCUGCAGACUCUAGCAUUGUAUCCUGUAAUGGGACUUCCUGUUGAGUGCUCCCCCACAUCCAACACCAAGGCCACUGAACGCCUCUUUACCAACAUGCCGGUGAGUUGUGUGGAAUUUGGACAGCCAGUGCCUUUUCUCUGCUUCUUGGGAGGCAAUUAGGGUUGGUCACUCUGUACCAGGGAGAAUUAGCCUUAGUAUUCAG
rnacentral:lncRNA from 1 species